rnacentral:rRNA from 1 species
GACGAACGCUGGCGGCGUGCCUAAUACAUGCAAGUAGAACGCUGAAGGAGGAGCUUGCUUCUCUGGAUGAGUUGCGAACGGGUGAGUAACGCGUAGGUAACCUGCCUGGUAGCGGGGGAUAACUAUUGGAAACGAUAGCUAAUACCGCAUAAUAGCAGUUGUUGCAUGACAACUGUUUGAAAGGUGCAAUUGCACCACUACCAGAUGGACCUGCGUUGUAUUAGCUAGUUGGUGGGGUAACGGCUCACCAAGGCGACGAUACAUAGCUGACCUGAGAGGGUGAUCGGCCACACUGGGACUGAGACACGGCCCAGACUCCUACGGGAGGCAGCAGUAGGGAAUCUUCGGCAAAGGACGGAAGUCUGACCGAGCAACGCCGCGUGAGUGAAGAAGGUUUUCGGAUCGUAAAGCUCUGUUGUAAGAGAAGAACGAGUGUGAGAGUGGAAAGUUCACACUGUGACGGUAUCUUACCAGAAAGGGACGGCUAACUACGU